rnacentral:lncRNA from 1 species
AAUAUUCGAAAAACUAUUUACCCCUAAAACACAAAAAGACCAUUUAUUCAUACCCCCACAAGUUAAUACAUACCGAGACAGCCUAAACCAAGACAAGAAAAUAUACAACUACACAGCCCAAAAAUACAUAGAAAAUAUAUACAGAGUCCAAACCUUUCUAAACCAUAACCCCAGAGCUACAGACAUCAAAGAACCAAAUACCAAUUAUAUAACCCAAAAA